rnacentral:snRNA from 1 species
GUAUAUGAGGGUGAUCUGGCGUGAUAGUUGUCAGCUGACCGACUGCAAGGGUGAUUUAGCUAAUUUGGUUGUGAUUAUCCCUUCUUCCCUCACCACUCCAUGAGCAUCCCACCUGAAACUGCAGUCAGUUGAGCAUGACCUACUCCUUAAAUAAGUCAUAGGUAUGUGAAUACCUUCUAUCACCUGCUAAAACCUAAAAAAGCAAGAUCAUAAAAAAAUAUGAAAAAAUCUUCCUGCCUCCUCUUCCACAUUGAUCACUGAAACGUCAGGGGAGGUGU